GUGGUUGUAGCUCAGUUGGUUAGAGCACUGGAUUGUGAUUCCAGGGGUCGCGAGUUCAAGUCUCGUCAGCCACC
rnacentral:tRNA from 1 species